rnacentral:rRNA from 1 species
GGGGGGGGGGGGGGGGGGGGCGGGGGGGGGGAGGGCGAGCGAGCGGGCGAGGGGCGUGCGCCUCGGACGUUGGCGGCGGACGGGUGAGGAACACGGGGAUAACCUACCUAGAAGACUGGGAUAACUUCGGGAAACCGGAGCUAAUACCGGAUAAUAUCUUGAACCGCAUGGUUCAAUAGUGAAAGACGGUUUUGCUGUCACUUAUAGAUGGAUCCGCGCCGCAUUAGCUAGUUGGUAAGGUAACGGCUUACCAAGGCAACGAUGCGUAGCCGACCUGAGAGGGUGAUCGGCCACACUGGAACUGAGACACGGUCCAGACUCCUACGGGAGGCAGCAGUAGGGAAUCUUCCGCAAUGGGCGAAAGCCUGACGGAGCAACGCCGCGUGAGUGAUGAAGGUCUUCGGAUCGUAAAACUCUGUUAUUAGGGAAGAACAAAUGUGUAAGUAACUAUGCACGUCUUGACGGUACCUAAUCAGAAAGCCACGGCUAACUACGUG